AAUCAACGCUGGCGGCGUGCCUAACACAUGCAAGUCGAACGCGAAAGGGCUUCGGCCCUGAGUAGAGUGGCGUCCGGGUGAGUAACACGUAGGUAAUCUACCUUGGGGUGGGAAGUAACGCCUCGAAGAGGCGCUAAUACCGCAUAAUCCAGCGGCAGCAAAUGCUGAUAAGUUGUUAAAGGAGCAAUUCGCUUGAAGAGGAGCUUGCGGCAGAUUAGCUAGNGGUAAGGUAAUGGCUUACCAAGGCUACGACCUGUAACCGGUCUAAGAGGACGGUCGGUCACACUGACACUGAAUAACGGGUCAGACUCCUACGGGAGGCAGCAGUCGGGAAUUUUGGGCAAUGGGCGAAAGCCUGACCCAGCAACGCCGCGUGAAGGAUGAAGUAUUUCGGUAAUGUAAACUUCGAAAGAAUAGGGAAGAAUCAAUGACGGUACCAUUUAUAAGGUCCGGCUAACUACGUGCCAGCAGCCGCGGUAAG
rnacentral:rRNA from 1 species